AUGACGAGAGUGAAGAAUAGUUACUAUGUACUUCCAGGAGAACCUGAACCGAAGUGCACCGUGUCAAACACUCACAACAUUGGGAAGGUAAUGUUCCUAACAGCUGUUGCCAGGCCUCGAUAUAACAAUGAGGGGGAGCUAACAUUCGAUGGGAAGAUCGGCAUUUGGGCAUUCAUCGAAGAGAGUGAGGCGAAGCGGACAAGUCAGAACAGAACAAAGGGAACAAAAGUGUUGACAUCAGUGAAAGUAACUAGGCCUGUGUGCAGAGAUUAUCUAAUCAAUAAGGUUAUCCCGACAAUUCAGGAUAAGUGGCCUGACGAUGAUGAGGGAGCAACAAUAUUCAUCCAACAGGAUAACGCAAAGCCUCAUGUCCUUCCCAAUGAUGUAGCUUUUUGA
rnacentral:rRNA from 1 species